CAACAGGGAUUGCCUCAGUAACGGCGAGUGAAGCGGCAACAGCUCAAAUUUGAAAUCUGGGAUUUUUAGUCUCCGAGUUGUAAUUUGAAGAGGAUGUUUCGGUUGGGACCUGGGCCUAAGUUCCUUGGAACAGGACGUCGUAGAGGGUGAGAAUCCCGUACACGGCUCCCGGUCUCCUUCCAUGUGUAACUCCCUCGAAGAGUCGAGUUGUUUGGGAAUGCAGCUCAAAAUGGGUGGUAAAUUUCAUCUAAAGCUAAAUAUUGGCGAGAGACCGAUAGCGCACAAGUAGAGUGAUCGAAAGAUGAAAAGCACUUUGAAAAGAGAGUUAAACAGUACGUGAAAUUGUUGAAAGGGAAGCGCUUGCAAUCAGACUUGCCUUCAGUUGAUCAACGUUCCUUUUGGUUCGUGCACUCUGCUGUUUGCAGGCCAGCAUCAGUUGGUGCGGUGGGACAAAGGUUGCGGGAAUGUGGCUCACUUCGGUGAGUGUUAUAGCCCGUUUCGUAAUGCCACCAGCGCCGAUUGAGGUCCGCGGUUCGUCCUAGGAUGCUGGCUUAAUGGUUGUAAGCGACCCGUCUUGAAACACGGACCAAGGAGUCUAACAUCUAUGCGAGUCUUUGGGUGUCAAACCCAUGGGCGAAAUGAAAGUGAACGGAGGUGGGAGUCUUCGGAUGCACCAUCGACCGAUCCUGAUGUUCUCGGAUGGAUUUGAGUAGGAGCAUAGCUGUUGGGACCCGAAAGAUGGUGAACUAUGCCUGAAUAGGGUGAAGCCAGAGGAAACUCUGGUGGAGGCUCGCAGCGGUUCUGACGUGCAAAUCGAUCGUCAAAUUUGGGUAUAGGGGCGAAAGACUAAUCGAUCCAUCUAGUAGCUG
rnacentral:rRNA from 1 species